UGGCGCUUUUUGUUAUUGUUGCUCGGGGUCGUGGAGCGAAGCUACCCGAGCAGGAGAAGGGACAGGGCGCCCUGUUCCUGUUUCUGUUCCCGUCUUGGCUUGUUUUGGACAAGAGUAAGUUGCCCGCAUUGAGAGGGGGAAGGCGGUCAAAAGUGAGCAACUUGGCGAACACACGCCGAGAAGUGCGCACGUUCGCUUUAGUGUCCGCGAUGUUUGUUUUUGCUUGCCACGCGCGUCAAACUGAAUACCAAAGCUUCGAAGUUGACCUUUGUGGUUGUUGUGGUUGUGAACACACGCGAGUUAGCACGUGUUGUCGGGCCUCCCCGUUCUUGCUCCUGUGGAAACACGCCGACAUGCACAAAGUGACCAAUCCGUCAUCGAUGCCAUCGAGGACAUCAAAUGUGGGGCAAGUUUGAGCUCCACGUGCUGAAUUUGUUCAAAAAAAAAAAAGCCCUGCCUGCUGUGUUUUUCUCGUACUUGGCAAAAUGAAAGUUUUUCUGAUACUCAGGGGAACGCCGCUUAUCCUCACUAUCCCAGCUGUCAUCGGGCAGGCGGCGGGCUACACCCUGAACCGGCCGCCGGACCAAUCGCCGGGCACAGCAGUCGCAGUCACAAUCGCACCGACGGGGCAAUUUGGAGUGUCCAAUCACUGCAUGGUUUUUUUUUGUGAUGUGGGAGGAAGAAAAGCCACACAGGCACGGGGAGGACAUCCAAACCCCACACGGGAUUGAUCCCGGGUCCUCAGAACUGCGAGGCAGACGCUUUACAGCUGACUGUUCGGGACGUUAAUAGAUUGUGAAAAAUUGCCACGGACUUUGAGAGCCAAACGAAAAGUCCUUGCGGAGGUUUGACGUCGACGUCUCCACCCGACACCUCCUGGCGCGAGAGUUGAAUGGCUCGGAAGUCUCGACAUGACUGAAAUAGCCCCGGUGUCACGUGGCCGAGACCCCCCCCCCCGGUCGAGGGGCUCCGACAACACAGCAACGCAGCCCGUGUGUCCUUCUUGGGCCGACGAGUCAACUCCUCGACGGAGCUUUGGUGCCUUUGUUCCAAAACGUGGGCCUCAGCUACUUCCCCCAGAGCAGUGUGGACUGUCACUACGCGCUGAGCUCCCAGCACGACGUCUUCAAGCGUCCGAGAGUACGAAUUUGUGGAUGUGGACGCGAAAGGGGACGUUCGCUCCCGCAGCGGCAAAUUCACAUUCUGCGCCCCGACGCCCCCGCGGGACCUGCUGACCCUUGAGGAGGAGUCGCGCGGGGACGGCGAAGGCCCGAAGCGGAAGAGCCGUCAGACCGGCGAUUCUCUUCUUCCUCUCGCCAGAACCGACUGCAGGAAUGCUUGCGAGAGACGAAGAGAGGGAAGAGCUCCGGAGGGAGAGGCUCGCCCGGAGCGGACUUCGCCGUCGUCGACGGGUUGCGCCGAGAACUGAAGCGUAGCCGAGGAACGAGGGAGGAGACGGUGAGGAAGCUGACGGUAUCGUCGCAGACUGCCCGCGGCUAAUGACAUCCGCGCUGUCUAAAGUUGUGCUUUUCUAAAAUAAAAAAAAAGCAAUCACGCAACCUCUUCGCGGAUCAACUUAGGGGUGCGCUAUCAUUGAAUCUGUUUGGAGUUUGCUGCGCUGUCUUACCGGGAGCGGUUCCUAAUAUUUUGCUCGCUCACUCUGUCGUAUUGGCGGCUGUUCCUAAUAUUUUGCUCAAUCACUGUCGUAUUGGCAGCUGUUCCUAAUAUUGAGUUGAGCUCGGAGACUUCAAGUUGAAUAAAACAACCGGUUGCCAGCAGGACGGGAUCGUGCAGCGUGAACAUCUGGUUGCCCGCGUCACGCGUAAACUGAGCCUCGUUCUCGUUGUAAGGGGCAAAUAUCGGAUUGAAGAUCUGAGCGCUUUACUGGUUUGAUCGGUCUUAAAGUGGCGACGUCCUCUUGUACGUGCCCGCUUGAAACAAACCACGUGAACUGCAGCAUUUUCUUUGACUUGAGUUUUGUUUUGCCUUCCUGCGGUCCCUUCGGAGGAAAUGGCUUGAGGGGAACGUCUUGCUCAACAAAAACAAGCCUUAUUGGAAACAAACUGCGACUUGAAGAACCGGAGGGAGAUGUUUAAACCCUGACACGGAGCGCCCUGGAACGAGAGAUGGAGCUGGAGAGGUCCAACGGAGUGAAGCUCGCCGGGAGCUGAAGGCCACGCUGAGGGUUGCCCGGAAGGAGAAGGAGGAAGAGGAGGAGGAGGAGGUGGAGAAGGAGCGACUGCUUUCCCGGAAAAAGAUGGGAACCGUCAACGCCGUGCCUUUCAUUGGGCCGCCAGACUAAAUAGCCCUCAGAAUGCGCCGCCAGCGCCCGCCCUGACGGUCUGCUCCGGCGUUCCUGUCGUCCGGCCCGGCGCUUCCGCCCUCCCCGCGGGAGACGGAGGGGAGUCUCGUGCUGAUCAGCCAGCCGGCCUCCCCCUCCUCGGAUUCGGAGGAAGAACCCGAUCCGCUGAAAUGCGCACGCCCGGACGCGGUCCCAAGGUGAAAGAAACAUUCUGCCCAAGCGGGAAGCCAAAUGAGUGAGCUCUCCGACACAUCGCUAUGGUAACCGAGUGGAGUGGACGUCGCGCACGUGAGGAGAAGCCCGUCCACCCACCCCCGCCCCCACCCCACGUUUGUACGCAAUCGUCCUCAUUUCAACCCUUCGUUGUGACAAGAAAAGGCAAAAAAAAGAAAAAUCCCCAAACGUUGGACGCCGGGCCGGGCGUCCAACACCCACCCGCGGAUGUUGCGACGUUUGCGAUUGGGAGCCACGCCCGCCACCGUCACGACGAUGCCGAAAGCGUCGAGCUUCCGUCCGCCGAGACGACGUGUUCCAAAUUCCAAAAGUCGUCAAAGUUUGUAUUGCUAAUAUUCAAAGUUUGAAGCCGCUCAAAGGGAGGUUUUAAUAUCAUCUUCCGCUCUGAAUUCAUUCCCGCAGCUCCAAAUUUGGCCGUGAAUAAUUAAAGAGAUGAAAGAAAAUCUUCUUUCUCGAUGGCGACAUCAUCACAUGCUGUCAGCGUGUUCCCCGAGGCGUGCGGCGAGAUAGCGCCCAGUAAAAUAUGUUUUUCAUCAAUCCUGCAUGCAUUUUGCAUUUGUCGUGAAAAGUGUCAUCGUGCUGCAAUUAAGCCAAAUGGAGACGAUUUCAAAGAAACCUUCAUGCUUAUUAAUGGACAUUUUUUUUUUUUUUUCCUAGAUGAAGGUUUUGGGGGAUAUUUUUAUGAAGUUAUUCCGAUGAUUCAUCGCUGCACUCCUUUCAUUGUUGGGAAUUCAGUUGAUUGUGUGGAAUUGAACGCAGUUGAGGCAAAUUUGAGCGCACUUCUUGGCUGCAACCAGCAGAGGUGCCGCUCAUCCUCACGAGGGCCGGGCCCUCAACAUGCUUGCCAGCCAGCAAAACGAACCAACAAUUCGCAUUUGGGGGGGGUCGCGCGCCGUCGGGAUUCGAACCCCGGUCCCUUUAACCCGCUCCACCCGACGCGGAGUUCAGAACAUUCACAGACCGGGAGCCACAGGCCCCCUCCCUAAUGACGUCUUGUGUUCCAUAUACAGUAUGAAUUUUGUUUUCUGUGAUUAUUUUCCAGCACUUGUUUUGAAAUAAGAAGGGAAGAGCGAGGAGCGAGCGUUUGUUGAUUGGAAUGUUGACUCGUCUCCUGCGGGACGUUUGAGGCCUUUCGGGUGGUCCAAAGUCGUCGUCCACGCGUUUGGGACGUUGCGGUCUCGCAAUAAAGCUCCGACGGUUCCGGUUUGUUUACGCCGUGGAUUUUGUUUUGUCUGGUCCACGUUUGGGCUUUUGGGGUUGUUAUGUAAUAAAAGGCUCGAC